rnacentral:rRNA from 1 species
CGGUAAUUCCAGCUCCAAUAGCGUAUACUAAAGUUGUUGCAGUUAAAAAGCUCGUAGUUGGAUUUCUGCGGGGACGGAGCGGCCGGUCGCAACUUGCGACUCGAGCUAGCGCUUUCCCCGCAUCCUGCCGCGAACCGUGCUACCAUUAGCUUGGUGGCGCUGGGGAUCGGCUCGAUUACUUUGAGAAAAAUAGAGUGUCCAAAGCAGGCCACACGCCUUGAAUAAGUUAGCAUGGAAUAAUGACUAAGGACUUCGGUUCUAUUUUGUUGGUGUUCGGGACUGAAGUAAUGAUUGAUAGGGACAGUUGGGGCGGUCUGUAUUCCAAAGCGAGAGGUGAAAUUCUUAGACCUUCGGAAGACAAACAGCUGCGAAAGCGUUCCGCAAGGAUGUUCCCUUUGAUCAAGAACGAAAGUUGGGGGAUCGAAGACGAUCAGAUACCGUCGUAGUCUCAACUAUAAACUAUACCAGCUAGGGAUCGGUCAACGUUUAAUCAUUCGACUUGAUCGGCACCUUAUGAGAAAUCAAAGCAUCUGGGUUCCGGGGGGAGUGUGGUCGCAAGGCUGAAACUUAAAGGAAUUGACGGAAGGGCACCACCAGCCGUGGAGCCUGUGGCUUAAUUUGACUCAACACGGGAAAACUUACCAGGUCCAGACAUAGUAAGGAUUGACAGAUUGAUAGCUCUUUCUUGAUUCUGUGGGUGGUGGUGCAUGGCCGUUCUUAGUUGGUGGAGUGAUUUGUCUGGUUAAUUCCGUUAACGAACGAGACCCCAGCCUGCUAAAUAGCGCGGCUGAGCUUUGCUCGGUGCGAGCUUCUUAGAGGGACUAUGAUGCGCGAUAGCACAUGGAAGUUUGGGGCAAUAACAGGUCUGUGAUGCCCUUAGAUGUUCUGGGCCGCACACGGGCUACACUGGCGCCUGCAACGAGCAUAUCAGCUGGCCCGAGAGGGUCUUGGCUAAUCUUUUGAACCGGCGCCGUGCUUGGGAUUGACCAUUGCAAUUGUUGGUCAUGCAACGAGGAAUGCCUUGUAAACGCGAGUCAUCAGCUCGCAUUGAAUACGUCCCUGCCCCUUGUACACACCGCCC